rnacentral:lncRNA from 1 species
ACGUUCCUGGUUAUUUCUAUCCCUAGAUUUGUUUCAAUGUUUGUUUUAAUUUGGUUUUAUAUUUUCAAAGACAUGAGGAACUAAUUUCUUUAUAGUUGGAGGUGAAUUUGAAGCCAUGAUUAUAUGUUUUAUAUGAAUUGAUUACAUCCAGUUAGUGUUUCUUGAGUCUUGAAUGUGAUUUGCUUAUCUGAGUUAUUAAAACUUAUUUAUGUAUGUAGACUGAGGGUCCACACUUAAUUUGCAUGCAUGAAUUUGAUGCUAGGGUAUAAGGGAGUUUCACUUAAUGGUUAUGAACUUAUAUUCACAAGUAGUGGAAGUCACUAGUCAUGAUUGUGUUGAGUAAAUCCUUGGCAGG